UACAGAGGUCUCAAGCGUUGUUCGGAAUUACUGGGCGUAAAGGGUGCGUAGGCGGCGCGGUAAGUCGGGUGUGAAAUCUCGGGGCUUAACUCCGAAACUGCAUUCGAUACUGCCGUGCUUGAGGACUGGAGAGGAGACUGGAAUUUACGGUGUAGCGGUGAAAUGCGUAGAUAUCGUAAGGAAGACCAGUGGCGAAGGCGGGUCUCUGGACAGUUCCUGACGCUGAGGCACGAAGGCCAGGGGGAGCAAACGGG
rnacentral:rRNA from 1 species